rnacentral:rRNA from 1 species
GGCUUAGAGUUUGAUCAUGGCUCAGGAUGAACGCUGGCGGCGUGCAUAACACAUUCAAGUCGAACGGAGUUAUACGAGUAGCAAUACGAAUAUAACUUAGUGGCGGACGGGUGAGUAACGCGUGAGCAACCUACCUUUCAAAGCGGGAUAACACAGGGAAACUUGUGCUAAUACCGCAUAACGUACCGACACCGCAUGAUGAUGAUACCAAAAGGGCAACCUGAUGAAAGAUGGGCUCGCGUCUGAUUAGAUAGUUGGUGAGGUAACGGCUCACCAAGUCUGCGAUCAGUAGCCGGACUGAGAGGUCGAACGGCCACAUUGGAACUGAGAUACGGUCCAGACUCCUACGGGAGGCAGCAGUGGGGAAUAUUGGGCAAUGGGCGAAAGCCUGACCCAGCGACGCCGCGUGAAGGAUGAAGGUCUUCGGAUUGUAAACUUCUGUAGACAGGGACGAAGAAAGUGACGGUACCUGUAAAGUAAGCCACGGCUAACUACGUGCCAGCAGCCGCGGUAAUACGUAGGUGGCGAGCGUUAUCCGGAUUUACUGGGUGUAAAGGGUGUGUAGGCGGGGAAUCAAGUCAGAUGUGAAAAUUACGGGCUCAACUCGUAACCUGCAUUUGAAACUGAUUUUCUUGAGUGUGGGAGAGGUAAAUG